UACGGAGGGUGCAAGCGUUAUCCGGAUUCACUGGGUUUAAAGGGUGCGUAGGUGGGCAGGUAAGUCAGUGGUGAAAUCUCCGGGCUUAACCCGGAAACUGCCAUUGGUACUAUCUGUCUUGAAUACCGUGGAGGUGAGCGGAAUAUGUCAUGUAGCGGUGAAAUGCUUAGAUAUGACAUAGAACACCAAUUGCGAAGGCAGCUCACUACACGAAUAUUGACACUGAGGCACGAAAGCGUGGGGAUCAAACAGG
rnacentral:rRNA from 1 species